GAAAUGCGAUAAGUAAUGUGAAUUGCAGAAUUCAGUGAAUCAUCGAAUCUUUGAACGCACAUUGCGCCCGCUAGUAUUCUGGCGGGCAUGCCUGUCCGAGCGUCAUUUCAACCCUCAAGCCCCCGGGCUUGGUGUUGGGGAUCGGCGAGCCUCCGCGCCCGCCGUCCCCUAAAUCUAGUGGCGGUCUCGCUGUAGCUUCCUCUGCGUAGUAGCACACCUCGCACUGGGAAACAGCGCGGCCACGCCGUUAAACCCCCAACUUCUGAACGUUUGACCUCGGAUCAGGUAGGAAUACCCGCUGAACUUAA
rnacentral:misc_RNA from 1 species